rnacentral:tRNA from 1 species
GGGAAUGUGGCUUAGUGGUAGAGUGCUUGCCUAGCAUGCAGGAAGUCCUGGGUUCGAUUCCUCAGUACUA